UCAGAAAGAAAAUGUGUGCUUUUUGUUUAAAUGGGGUAUUAUUGAAGAGAGAAUGUGUGAUUUUCGGGACAAAUCAAAGAUUUUUGAAGAGAAAAUGCUUCGUUUUGGGUUACAUGGGGGAUUUCCAAAGAGAAAUUGCAUUUUUUUUCAGGUUAAAUGAAGGAUUCUGAAAAGAAAAUGUGUAAGUUAUGUGAGGCUAGGCGAGGAAAGGAGAGGGUAGCGGAGGCAGGACGAAGCAGGGCGAGGCGCGGCGAGGCGAGGCGAGGCGAGGUGUGGCGAGGCGAGGAGGAGCAACACAAGGCAAGGUGUGAUGAGGCGAGGCAAGGCGA
ensembl:lncRNA